GGCUUUGUGGCUUUGUGGGAAAUCUCUUCCCUACUAUCAGUGAGGUUGUAGGUUCAAAUCCUGCCUAGGCUU